GUGGGGAGCACCCUGUGGGCCAGGCUCUGUGCCGAGGCUUGAAGACAUCGUCUACACGACUUCCUACCUCCCUAUCGACUUCUAAACCCUAGCCACCCUGAGCAUGUUCUUGUGCUUUGUGCUUGACACCAGUUACUCCCCUGCUUGGAAUGUUCUGCACUCGAGUCUUAUCAUCUGGUCCCAGGCAUUCUCCUGGAUGAUUAAUUGACAGCUCUCCAGCCAAGACUGAGUUCCUUCUGGAGGCAGGGCCCCUGGGUGCGCACCUGCCAUGGCAGAACUGAAGCAGGAAAAUGUAUUGUCUUCCUCUUUCCCUUCGGAGUGCUGCAGCUGCUGGCCUGCUUGAAGGAAUCCUUCCUCGCUUGGGGUAUGAACUGGACUCGCCGAAUAAAGGAAAACUGCACAUUUUCAGUGAAUUCAGGGAAGCAGUACUGUGGAGAUUGAUUUGAAAAAUCCCCGCCACUCACAAGCUUUGGGGGCUGUUCUUUUUUCCCUGCCUGUCUGGUGCCCCCUUUCCUAUAGGGCUUUCUGCCCACAUUCCUGAAUGCCACAGCGCACUGCGACAGCUGUGGUGGUAGCCUGGAAUCCCGAGGACGCUGGUGGGGCCUCUUGCAUUCAAGAGCAGAGAUGCUUCGCCUGAAGGGAAAGCAAACCGAGCUGUUGGUGCAGAAUUCAUGAGACGUCCAUCCGGCACAAAUAGUUCCCGGAAGGCAAGGUCAAAAGACAGUCUGCCGUGUGGAAGAUUUCUGUGGCUUUCCAAAAGUUAAAAGUGGAUUUGUUUGCCAAAGACACGUUUAAGCUGAAGUUUCUUGGGGCUUAUUAGCAGAAUUUGUGGUGUCCUCAAAUUUGGACAGAAGGUUUUUAUGAGAAUAAUUCCAGAAGCUAGAGACAAUUAGGAGUUGCCACAAAAACACUCAUGCCUGGGUAUUGUCAUUUUAGUAGCUUUCAUUGAGCACUCAUAAUGACAUUUUUCAUUAAUUGUGUUGUGA
rnacentral:lncRNA from 1 species